GGCUCGGGCUGUGGCGCAGGCUGGAGAGCAGCUGCAAUGAAUCACUGCAAUGAAUCACUCUGACCAGGAGGUCAUGAGUUCGAGGCCCGCUCGGAGCCUAUGUUUGUCUGUCUUUGUUCUAUGUUAAAAGGCACUGAAUGUUUGCCUAUAUGUGUAAUGUGAUCUGCCCUGAGUCCCCUUCGGGGUGAGAAGGGCGGAAUAUAAAUGCUGUAAAUAAAUAAAUAAAUACAUAAAUUACUACUUCCAUGUUUAUUAUUACAGUGACCCUUUGCCUCUGUUAGGAUUUAAUGUCCUCUCUUGUGUUGCUAAAAUCCAUGGAUGCUCAACUCCCCAUUAUGUAUAAUAGUGUAAAAAAAAGUAAUGUCUGUUAUAUCCAAGGUCAAAAUCAAGAUUUGCUUUAUCGAUUUUUUGUCUGUCUGUCUGUAUAUUUGUGUGAGUGUGUGUGGACUGUUUUCAAGCCACCGAUCUUAGAAUCCAUGGGUGCAGAAUCUGUGGAGAUAUAGAGGGCUGGCUGUAGGAUACUGUUCCUGCCAGGGAUAGCGAAUGGUGCCAAUGGGGUUUUCUGCAACUUCCUGCAGUUCUCUCAGUCUCAGGCCCGCGCAGAGCAACUCCGCGACCUCUUUGGGCCAAGGACACGAUCCGGAGAGACGGGGCCAAGGCAGCGCUCCAAGGCAUCCAUUGGACCUCGCGGCUUGGCUGCCGCCUUCCCUUCGGUCGCUCCGUGACUCAAGGCUCGGGAGUUUGCUGAUGUUGUUGUUGCUGCUGCUGCUGUCGCUUCCGUGGAUGGAGAGGAAAUGGCGAGCCCGGCGCGCUCCUGGCUUCCUUAGCCUGUCAAAACGCGCCUCUUGCCGCCUGCCCUCGUCUGCGUUUGUAGGCGUUUGUAGGAGCGGAAGGCAGGGAGAAGCCCCAGAAGAUGACAUGUUACUUGCAGGGGAUGGUGUCAGGACUCUGGAGACCCAUUCAGUAAAACGAGCAGGAGAAGCUCACAGAACAACAGAACUGGCUCACCACAUUUCAAAAUAAAUGAAGUAAUACUCCGUCGGGAUUGGCAUCCAGCAUCCUUUCCACAAAAGGAAACUUUCUACUGAUAAGACAGAAAAGUGGGUGAUCCUUGUUGAUACCCUUGAUCCCAGCAGUCCCACUUUCUGCUCAUCUUCUCCAGAAGAUUGAAGGCCCUCUGGAAAAGUGCAGGAGGUAACCCUGGAAGCUGCAAAGGGAGUCUAUCUGCUGUCAACUACUUUCCAUCAGCUUCUGCCCACUGGCAACUUUGUUUUUUUGUCUGAACUUGAAAGGAACUAUCCAAGAUGUUGAGUCUGUUUGAGAGUGGGUUCAGCCCUUUGGUUAGCCUCUUUACAUUUAGCCCAAAAUCUGAAGCAGUUUUACCACCUCAUUGACAUGGAAGCCACCAGCAGCUACUUCUGCUAAUGAAAGAAGGUGAGCCCAAUCCAUGAUAACAUAAAGAGUGGGUACAGCAUAAAAUCAUUGGGCCCAGAAUCUAAAAUUCACUUCUUGGGGCCCUUCCAGACAGGCCCUAUAUCUCAGAAUCUGAUCCCAGGUUUUCUGUUAAUCCAAAAUUAUCUGGCAGUGUGGAUUCAUAUAAUCCAGUUUAAAGCAGAAAACCUCGGAUCAGAUUCUGGGAUAUAGGGCCUGUCUGGAAGGACCCUUAGACCAUUGCUUCCAGACACAAAAUGACCUAGUUUUGUUCUUAGAAUUUCUGAACAAUGCCACCUAUUAAAAAGUGAAAUUCUGAAAUUCUUCUAUGCCUUAUAGCAUUACUCCAUCCUAUUUCAAAAGCACAUGCUCAAAGAAACACUCAUGAAUCCCAAAACAAACCUUCCUAGACAUGGAGACUUUGAUGAAGAACUCUUUGGAACAAGAAUUGCCAGCAGAAAGACUCAAAUGUAUGGAGCAGAAAAGUGGGAGCCUGAGAACAUGUUGACUGGGGGAUUCUAGGAGCUGCACACCAUAUAGGACCAUUUUCAAGCUUUGAUGAAAGCUAGUUGAGUUAGAUGGGUAUUACUGAGACCUGAUACUGCAUAAAGAAGUGGACCAUAUCCCUAGAUAUAUUGCCUAUACUUCUCUCUGGCCAUUUCCCCAACCCCUUUUUCAUUAUUGCCCAGCUAGAUCUUUGAAAUGAUGCAUAAACAGCAGUUGCCUGUAGGUUUCUUCAGACCUUCCCCACCCUGCUCAUAUUUCAUAAGCACAGAGCAGGAAGCCAGUGUUUUCCAUGCACACCCCCGCCCCCACUUGGCCCUGCCACCUUCCUCGAGUCAACCCCCACCAUGACACACAUUCUGGAACACGAGGGAAGCUUGUGUGGCAGUGGCAUCUUUGCUGUAUUUUUAGCUCUCCUCUUUUGCUGCUUUUCUUUAUGUACUGCAUUGCUGUUCUGCACUCCUUUUCCUAGAUCGCUGUUGCCAAAUGCUGGCUCGCUCUCCAGAAGGAAAAUUCUCUCACUGUGAUAUUUUGAGUCUCCCUGAGCGCAAAUGUUGUGCUGCAGAUUGUAAUUCAACUUAAUCUCCUUUACAUCCAUUUUAUUGAUGCUAACUGCUUUCCCAAAAGGCAUCUUACAGCAACUCUCAGGCAAACUGUAUUUAGCAGUGUGCCUUUCCUGCUAGCCUAUUUUUGGUGCAUCAAUGUUUGAUCGAGGUAUGAUCAGCUGACAAGCUGUGUUUAUGCCAUUAAUGUCAACAUGCUUUCAGAUUUAAAAAGUAUUCUUUGCCAUUGAUGGGUGGCAUGUGUUUCCGGAUCUUUUAGGAUUAUUUUAUUGCUCUCAGAUCAAGCUGUUAAGCAGUAUCAUGGCUGGUGCAGAAUAUCUGUAAGUGGGUUUAUUUGUUUCCCCUCUGAUUUAUACACACACACACACACAUAUAUAUAUAUAUACAUACAUAUACAGCACUCCACAUUUUCUGAGGUUAGGGGUUUUUAACUGGAGAUAACUGCACUCCAGGAAUCACUAGAUCAUCCAGCAAAUUUAUGCUAGAUGAAGGGGGCUACCUGCUUGUGUUUUUCUGUCAGAAAUUGAACAUAGAAUCAUACCGAAAGACCAGAGAUUUCUAGAGCUAACAUUUAAAUCAAAUCCACAAUUAAUUAAAUCUGGAAAAGCCAAACCUAAAAAAAGUGGAAGGCUGACUGUAUUAUUAUUAUUAUUAUUAUUAUUAUUAUUAUUAUUAUUAUUAUUAUUAUUAAUUAUGGUAUUGUGGGAUAAUAAAUAAUUGUGUUGAAAACCUGUACAUAUAACUUUUAGGACUUUUGACAAAGGCCUUUUGACUUUUGAAGACUUAAUUAUAGUGAAAACUCUUCUUGAGUUUUAGUCUGAUCCAAACAGGAUCUUCUUACAUUUUUAGAAUGUAUAUUGGGGUGUGUGGGGGGGGUGCAAUUUAGAAUUAGCCUCCAAACUUUGUAGCUACCACAGUAUCCAUCAAAACAAUUGGUUAUUUCAAAGGCCUUCCAGAUGCCGGCUCUCAGAAUUUCUUACUGGGAGUUGAAAUCCAAAACACCUGGAAGACCAAAAUUUGGGAAUAGUGGCUCUAAAUGACUAGCCAAUUACAUAAUAGUGGCAGCUAAUGGCAUAAAACACAGUGAUGUAUUGAAUCCAGACCUGAAAUUUACAGGGCCUCUCCAAAGUGCACCAUGGGAUACAAGAUUCAGCACCUUGGAAAGCUCAUUUAAAGUUUGGACUAACACCUGGAGUGGAAUUGCUGCUACAUUGACAUCAAAACCAACAAGCUCCCACUGUCACUCGAUUUUCCCUUGAAGUUUCCUUGACAAAAGUUCACAGGAAAGGUCUAAAUGAGAUGACACAAAUGUUACUCUCACUGUAGUUUCUCUUCAGGGGUUCUAUUCCUUUAAGCAUAGAGGUCCUGCCUGCCUCCCUCCCUGUCUCUCUCUAGUCACGUCAGUGGAACCGUUCUCUAAGCAUAAGAUCAGUGAUAUAACAGGUCAGUUCCCUGGGGGCUUCUUGGUAAGAAAUAAGAAAGCGAGAAGAGGAGCUGUUGAAAAGUUGUAGGCAGUCAGACAGAUCUCACUCUCUUAGGGUAGAGGAGAUAAAGGAGCAGAAGCAAUGGGAACAAAUUGAUGAGGUAUAAGGGGAGAAUGGGAAAGCAAAAAUAAAUGGAAUCAGUGUGUGUUGUAGCUGAAUCUAGAUGGGGAGGUUGUGCUAUAAAUCUGUGGUUUCCAACACAUUGUGGUCCUACAUGGUUUGGGCCCAGGAGAUCACUUUUUCCAUCUCAAACACUUAACUCCUCAGGACUUUUACUUCCAUAAAACAAGGUUAGGCUGGCAACAGCCACCUAGAUGUUUUCCUUGGCUGUCCCUAGAUUGUGCCAUGGCCUGCUGGAAGAACUUCAACAGCUGGAUAUUCUGUCUGAAUUUAAAUAGCAUUAACCAGUCUCUUCCAGCUAAUCUACCUGGAUGAUUUUCAAAUUAUAUAUUUUGAAUGGUGAACUUUAAAGUGUAUGCUAAUUGUUUUAAUAUGUGAUGAUUUUAUAUAUUCCUUUAAACUGAUGUCAAUUGGUUCAUGUUUUUAACUGAUGUUAUGUGCUUUUUAGCUGAUGGCAUAUGUUGCAUUUUAAUAUGUUGAUGUUUGUUGACACAUGCGAAGAGGCGGAUAGGAAACAAUGAUGAGCAGGGAGGUCAGCAGAGGAGGCCUUGCUCUCAGUCCCACCCCCAUCUCAAGUGCGGCUGGUGGGAACGAGAGAGGGGGCCUUCUCCGUGGUCGCCCCCCACCUCUGGAACUCCCUCCCAAAAGAAAUAAAGCUGGCUCUCUCCCUCUUCUCCUUCAAAAAACAUCUGAAGACCUACUUAUGCUCACUAGCAUAUGGAGAGGAGGAGGAUUAGACAAUGAGAGAUCACUACCAGACCCCUGGUUGAGAACUAUUUUGGAUUUGGACUCUUUUAGUCCAUGCCAGCCCAAAUAUCAUCUUUUGACUACACAGCCAGCCCACACUGUUUUGUGAAAUCUAGUUGGCUGUUGUAAAUUAAUGUGGUUGUUUGCUUAGAUUUUAUGCUAUUAUAUAAUUUUGUUUGACUAUGGCUAGUUUAAUUUAUUGAUGUUAGAUUUAAUUUACUGAUGGUAGGUUUUGAUUUGAUAUUAGGUUUUUAACAUUAUUUUCAUAUAUCUCUGGGAUUUUAUGUCAGUAUUUGUUUGUUUUAUGGAGACACUGAAUGUUUGCCAUUGUAUGUCAGAAUCCACCCUGAGUCCCAUCAAGGAGAUAGGGCAGAAUACAAAUAAAUACUCUCUGCUCAUUAUAGCUGCAGCAUAUCCUUUUUAAUUUACAUUUUUAUCAAAGAAAACAAUAAAAUCUAUGCACAUGUAUAUACAUAAACAAAUGCAAUGUUUCCUCACAUCUGUACAGUGAUUAUAUCUAUGCCCUUCCCUCCUCCCCUUACCUUUCUCAUUGUAGUGACUUCCCAUCUUUUGGGUUAGAGAAAUACAUGUAGAGUUCUGUUCUUCCUUUCCAUUAUAAUAUUUGUCCAAUCAUCCUUUUUGUAUGAUAGUUAUUAUUUAAAUUAUGAAGACUUCUAUAAAAACACACAAUUUUUAAACCAGUUCAAACUAAGGAAUACUGUGUCCAAUUUUGGGCACUGCAGUUGAAGGGAGAUGUUGACAAGCUGGAAAGCGUCCAGAGGAGGGCGACUAAAAUGAUUAAGGGUCUGGAGAACAAGCCCUAUGAGGAGCGGCUUACAGAGCUUGGCAUGUUUAGCCUGCAGAAGAGAAGGCUGAGAGGAGACAUAAUAGCCAUGUACAAAUACGUGAAGGGAAGUCAUAGGGAGGAGGGAGCAAGCUUAUUUUCUGCUGCCCUGCAGACUAGGACACAGAACAAUGGCUUCAAACUACAGGAAAGGAGAUUCCACCUGAACAUUAGGAAGAACUUCCUCACUGUGAGGGCUGUUUGACAGUGGAACUCUCUGCCCCGGGCUGUGGUGGAGGCUCCUUCUUUGGAGGCUUUUAAGCAAAGGCUGGAUGGCCAUCUGUCGGGGGUGAUUUGAAUGCGAUUUCCUGCUUCUUAGCGGGGGGUUGGACUAGAUGGCCCAUGAGGUCUCUUCCAACUCUAUUAUUCUAUGAUUCUAUGAUUCUAAGAGUUCUAAAGUUUUAACUUGCCAUGAGGCAGAUGAAAUAGAUUAUGUUUUUGUACUCCAGUGGAUGCCAAGAUUGGGGAACUAGAAUGAUACAAGAAGCUUCUAUUUUAAAUUGUGUGUUCUCUUUACUGAUAUUCAUCACCCCUGAUUUGGAAGGAAAGUUUCAUACUUUCCAGAGAUUGAGAAGUGUGGUGAAUAGCUUGCUUUACUCAAGAAAUGUUUUGUUGUGUCAUCUGUGCAUCAAAGCAGUUACAUGUUCACUAUUUAUUGCAUCUUUGAUGAAAAAGCAUUCCCAUAUUCUUGAUAAAUGCAGUUUUAACUGCAGAAUGUUAUUUUGCUGUAGGAUUAAAGCAUUUUGCAGACCUAUGACUACAAAAACUAUUUCAUAGUGUAUUUGGAUAUUGUCAUUCUGCAUCUUUAAGAUUACCAUCCUGGUAGUUUCCAUGGGUGGACGGGAAUUUAAAACCUGGACUUUGGGUAUCAGUUCAGCAGUCAAACCACAAGUCAUAUGACAAAGUCAUCUUAGGGUUGCUCUAACCCAGAAAUGGCUUGAGGGCACAAAAUAAUAUUUUGGGUAUAGUAUAAAAUAUAUUAUAAUGUUGUAUAGUUAAGCCUAUACCUGAAUAGACUAUCUGUGGGAUGAUCAUUUUUGUAUAGCUUCCAUUAUAUGGAAGGAAGAGUUAAAAUGCACAUUUUACAACAAAUCCAGAUGCACAUGUAAUGCUUUAGACUGUUUUUUUGGCAGCAAGUUUGUUCUUUCUGUGAUGUGUGGGAUAAUUCCUUUCUCUUGUAGAUGCAUAUUCUGUGCCAUGUAGGAGGUAGGGAAGGAGUGGGGGACUGAGAUCUAGAGAGACAGAGGGGGGGGGGGGGAGCAAGGGAAGGAGAGAGGGAGAGAAGAAGCAGCAGCAGCUAUAAUUGCCAAAGAAACAGCCAAACUGGUGCAUAGCAUGGCAGGGAUCCCAGACGAAGGAGGAGAAAGCCAGAGGGGCAAAAACUAGCAGCUGACAAGCAGUUUGCUGAGUCACCAGUCUCACAACUCACUAUUUGGACAGAGAGCAGCAGUAUUUCCCCUCCACCACCACUCCGAAAGAAGUAUCCACAAAUACUAUCUGGACAAUUCAAGCUCAAUAAAGGCUUGUAAAAUUAUCUCCUCUGAAGUGUACACACCUUUGAGGGUUUUAAAAAUUGCUCUGUCUGUGUUCUUUGUUCAUAUUCUCUCCCCCCCCCCUCUCUUUCUCUGUCUCAGUGGAAUAUUGGUGAAGUAAACUGCUUUCAGGAAGGAUGGUGCUGCUGAUUAUAACAGCCUGAGUUUCAUGGAGAAUGUCUCAAUGUCAUUGCUUAGUUUCUGUGGUAAGAAUAUAGAAAAAGGGCAGUAAUUUGUCAUUUAAAAAAAUGAAUGAGGACCAGAAACUUAUUAUAAGCAAAAGAGGAUGCUACAAUGUUUCUCAUGGAAGUCUAUGGUUUCACCUAAAGGGUUUAAGGCAGGGGUCCCAAAACUAAGGUCCGUGGGCUGGAUGUGGCCUUCCAAGGACAUUUACCUGGCCCCCGCCCUCAGUUU